UCGACCCUGCUGUGCCCGUGAUGCAGCACUCCGUUUUGAGCCAACACUUAGCAAACGGGGAGUAGCUUCCGACGGGGGACGCGGUAGGCUGCGGCCAAGGCGAAGCCCGUCGUCUGUUCCCCACCUGCGUCAGCAGGUUCAAAACCUUGCAGCACACGGCACGGCGGGGCGCU
rnacentral:other from 1 species